rnacentral:misc_RNA from 1 species
GAUGAAGAACGCAGCGAAAUGCGAUAAGUAGUGUGAAUUGCAGAAUUCAGUGAAUCAUCGAAUCUUUGAACGCACAUUGCGCCUUCUAGUAUUCUGGGAGGCAUGCCUGUUUGAGCGUCAUUAAACCUCUCUCAAGUAUGAUUACUUGGAUGUGAAGGAAGAGUACCUUAAACUUAAGGAGUGUUCUCCUUUGAAAUUGAUUAGCAGAUGGUAAUGUUAUUAAAUCCCUGAUGUUGUAAGAAAUAACAGUGGUUUUGUAGACUAUUAUCUAGCUUUAAAUUAUAAUUUUUAUUAUGGUUGACCUCAAAUCAAGUAAGGAUACCCGCUGAACUUAAGCAUAUCAAUAAGCGGAGGA